CGAGGGCGAAACAGAGCGAAGGUGCUGCAAUGCGCUGCCUUGCCACAAGUGAAAAGUCCGUGAGGCCGGCCUGAGGGUGGCUCUGACAUGAGGCUCCCUUGUCGCCUAUGUCCAGGUGAUGCAAGCCAGAAAGACCAUUACAUGAAGCAAUGAUGGGCGAACAUAUACAUGGAGAACGAACGAAGUGAUUGUGUGAGCAGGCCAAGUCAGAAAGUUGCAAGGAAGCUAUUAUUGCAACAAAACCAGCCACCGCCGCCUCUAGCACCAUCCGGUUCCCGUGCUGCAAGUGCAGUCAUAACCCCUGUGGAGAGGGACCAGACCCCAAGGAGAAAGUAGGGGCUGUCGAGCUGCGUUUAAGUAUGCUUUGCUGGUGCUUUUAGCUAUUUCAAAAGACGCAAGAAGUGGCUCGACAUCACUUAGCCAUAGGCUGCUCUUCCUCAUCUUAAUGAGCAUAGCUCUUGCAACACUGGCUCCGCCAAAAAAACUAGGCGUAAAGUUCAAGGUAAAGUUUUUAAACCAUGUACUUUUUGUCAUCUCAUGUGAGCUGCCAUACACACAUAGAUGAAUCUUUGUUGUUGCUUGGAGGUAGACUUCAUGCUUCUCUCCCAGCAGUCCAGCUCUCUUCUCUUUCUAUUAUGUAUUACUUUUCUUUGAUUUAUGCUUCAGUGACCAAAGUAUGUAUGCUCACUCCCUGCGUGUGGAAGAGAAAUGCACCGGUGUACACCAUAAAAGGAUGCGAAAAGUUAAA
rnacentral:lncRNA from 1 species